rnacentral:rRNA from 1 species
UUUAUAUGAGAGUUUGAUCCUGGCUCAGGAUGAACGCUGGCGGCGUGCCUAAUACAUGCAAGUCGAACGAGUUCUCGUUGAAUCUCGGUGCUUGCACCGAGAUUCAACAUGGAACGAGUGGCGGACGGGUGAGUAACACGUGGGUAACCUGCCCUUAAGUGGGGGAUAACAUUUGGAAACAGAUGCUAAUACCGCAUAGAUCCAAGAACCGCAUGGUUCUUGGCUGAAAGAUGGCGUAAGCUAU